GUGCUCACUUCUGGAGCACACAGUCCAAAACUGGAACGACAGAAAGAUCAGCACGGCCCUUGCACAAGGAUGACAGGCAAAUUCGUGACGUGUGUCCUAUUUUU